CCUGCCCCUAGAGGGGAGGCAUUGCAGGUAUGUCUGUCACAUGUGUGUCAGUAGGUAGCAGAAAGGAGUGAGGCUGUCUGUGCUCAGUGUUCUAACCUAUGAAUAUCUGAAUAUUUAGUAGCCCAACAUU